rnacentral:ncRNA from 1 species
UAAAUUAAUUUUUUAUUUCUUUUGAUUACAUGAAAAUUUUUGUAAACUGUAAUUUUAAUAAUCUAAUAAUCAGUAAUUGAAAUUGUUUUUUAAUGAAAAUUAGAUGUAUAAAUUGAUUUAGAGCUCGACUAAUUUUGUGCCAGCAGUUGCGGUUAUACAAUUGAGUUAAUAGAAUUUUAAAAAUAAAUUAAUUAUUACUUUGAUUUUUUAAAUUAAAGUUGAAAUUUAAAAGGUAAAAUUUAAUUUUUUAGACUUAUUUUUCAUGUAUAAUUGAGAAACUAGUAAGUAAACCAGGAUUAGAUACCCUGUUAUUAAAGUGUAAAUUUAUUGGAGUAGUAAAAGUUAAGAUCUUGAAACUCAAAAAAUUUGGCGGUAUUUUAUCUUAUUAGAGGAACCUGUUUAUUAAUUGAUAUUCCACAACUUAAAAUUACUUUUAUUAUAUUAUUUGUAUACCGCUGUCAUGAAUCUACUAAAAAGUUUAUUUUCAAUUUUUUUUAUGUGUGGUAUGUUAGGUCAAGGUGCAGUAUGUAAAAGACUAAAAUGGGUUACAUUAUUUAAUAUGAAUGAAUUAUUUGAAUUUAUAAAAAAAUAUGAAAUAGGAUUUAUUAGUAAAAAGAUUAUUAGAGAUUUUAUAUGAAUAAAGAUUCUAAAAUAUGUACACAUUGCCCGUCGCUCUUGUUUAAAAUAAGAUAAGUCGUAACAUAGUAGAUGUACUGGAAAGUGUCUCUGGAACUAA